GACCUCUUCUUCGAUUCCAUCGGUGGUAGUACUGUGGAGAAGAGGUUGUUGUUGUUCUUCUUCUUCUAUAGCGAUUUGUGCAGGCAUUCUUCUUCUUCAAUUGCUCAAAGCGAGGGAGGUGAGUUUUAGAAGUGUAGCGCUGCGCCUAGCCGCCUAACGGCAUGUUAAGCUUAGGCAUAAAUUUUCAACUGCUAUUUUAUUUUAGAUUAAAAUACUAGUUUCUUUUUUCAUAAUAAUUAAAAUAUGUAUUAAUUUACUUUAAGUAAACUACCAAAAUAAUCAUUUUUUUUCCCUCAAGUUAUUAUUUACUCACUUAUGUUUAAAAUGUUAUAUUUUGGUCACUUAUAUUAACGUGUUGUAACAUUUUAGUCACUGAGUCGUUAGUUGUCGUUAAUGGUGUAACAGUAAACUGGCAUGGCACAUUAUAUCAUCAUUUCAAACAAAAAUUUUAUAUUAAAUUAUACAAUUGGUCCCUUAUUUUUUUCAUUUUGAGCAAUUUAAUUUUUUUAUUUUAUGUUCUUUUAACUUUCUUUUUUUUAUUCUCUUCUCUCCUUUUUUUUUCCUCACUUCUCCAUCUCUUUUAACGUAAAAGAAAAAAUUAAAUUUCUCAAAACGAAAAAAAUAUAGGGACCAAAUAUAUAAUUUAACCUAAAAUUUUUCGUUUGAAAUGAUGAUUUAACAUGCCACAUCAACUUACUGUUACACCGUUAUCGGCAAUUAACGCUCAAUGACUAAAAUGUUACAACCCAAUAACGUAAGUGAAUAAAACGUAACAUUUCAAACAUAUGUGACUAAAAUGUAAUCUGAGAUAAAUAAAAGUUUACCUUAUAGAUAUUAUAUCUUAAAAAUAUGAAUAUUUUUAAAUUUUUACAUAAAACUUUAUUAUUUUUUUAGAUUUAAUUACUUAAUUACAAUUACAAUGAAACGGUUUUAAUGAUCAUAUAAAUAUAAAUAUAUGUUAUAAAAAAUAUAUAUUUUUAGAGAGUUAUAAAAUAUAUAUUAAACUAUAUGCACUCGUGUCUUCCAAAAUUUCGGUUAAAAUCGAAAUAGGAGACAAAUAAAUGAGAGUGUUGAAGUUUCAGUUAAAAUCGAAUUAAUUGAUCGGUUAACCAAUCUAAUUCGGUCGGAGGUCGGUUAAUAAUUUUUUGGAAAUUCGUUUAUCGGUUAAUUCGAAUCGAAAUCGGGUAAUUAACCAAACUUAAUAAAUAAUACAAAUUAUAUAUAGUUUUAAUUUGGUUAAUUCGGUCAAAUGAAUUUUUUAUAUAUUUUAUACUUGUUUUAACUAAAAAGAACAAAAAUAUAAAAAUUUCGGUUAACUGAUCGAAUUAACCGAAAUAUUUUGAUUCGGUUAACGGUUAAAAACUUAAAAAGCUCGAUUAAUUCAAUUAAUAUUAAUUCGGUUUGAUUAACCGUUUGAACACCCUAACCAUCGCUACUAAUAUCUUACCAAUUUAUGAAACAAACUUUUUUUUCUACAAAUUUAUGCUUAGACUUGUGCCACGGACCAGAGUGCAAAGCCCGUGACCAUUGCACAAGAUGCGCCCCAUGGAGGUCUAUCGAUUAGAUGGGGAACAUUUAGCCUACGAGAGCUGGCCCAAUUCAAAGACCUAUUGGAGAAGCCCAUCAGAUUGAAGCCUAGUUGGCUCGAUAAUGAUGACAUGGCAACUUAGGCUGAUAUGGUAACUAAUCUUAGAAGAUAGAGAGAAUCAUAUCUUGUAAAGAUUAGAUUAGAUUUGAUAUGGCUUGUCUUGUAAAUCCCUAAAAUAAAGGGAUACUGUUAAUCUCGUCCGCUGAUGUAAAUGUAUCUUGACCAUCGGUUUUGGGGGAGCUCAACUAUAAAUAGAGAGCCUCCCCCUCAUUUGUACUCCAUUCCAUUAUAUUCUGAGUUCUUAAGAGUAAUAGAGUUCUG
rnacentral:lncRNA from 1 species